rnacentral:rRNA from 1 species
AGGCAGCAGGCGCGCAAAUUACCCACUUCUGACCCGGAGAGGUAGUGACGAGAAAUAACGAUGCGGCCCUGGAAAAGGGACCGCAAUCGGAAUGAGCGCAGUCCAAGUCGCUGAACUUUGGACGGUCGGUCGGCUCUUUCGCCAAAAGCGGGGGGUCGGCCGUCUUCCCGAGCGAGUAUCGAUUGGAGGGCAAGCCUGGUGCCAGCAGCCGCGGUAAUUCCAGCUCCAAAAGUGUAUACUAAUGCUGCUGUGGUUGAAAAGCUCGUAGUUGGUCGCGCCUGGAGAGCUGCCGGGGGAAGAGCGUGCGCGACGCGUCCGAGAGCGCGGCGCUCGCGCGACGCGAAGGAGGGCGCGCGCGCGCGACCCGGCGGCGAAUGGCGAGGGGCCGCGUCGUCCGCGAGGGCGGCGCGGCUCGUUCGGUACGGCCCGGGGGCGGCGCCCGCGAGGGCGUCGCCUUUUCUCACCGGCGAGUCGAACCGAGGCUACUUUGAAUAAUCUGGAGCGUUCAAAGCGGGCCCGCGACGCCCCUGGGGCGUGACGGCCGCGAACAAGCGUGCAUGGAAUGGCAGAACAGGGCCGCGGCGCGACAGCGUGCCGACACUGGAGCCCGUCGAAGCACGCGGCAAUGAUCGAGAGGGACGGACGGGGGCAUUCGUACCGUGCCGCGAGAGGUGAAAUUCAGAGACCGGCGCGAGACGAACCGAAGCGAAGGCGUCUGCCAAGGACGUUUUCUUUAAUCAAGAGCGAAAGUCGGAGGCUCAAAGACGAUCAGAUACCGUCGUAGUUCCGACCCUAAACGAUGCCGACCGCGUCGCCGCCGAUAAUGCUUUGGCCUUCAAGGGCCGGAUGGCUCGGUGGCGGCGCCGCGAGGGAAACCGGAGUCUUCGGGUUCCGGGGGAAGUAUGGUCGCAAAGCUGAAACUUAAAGGAAUUGACGGAAAGGCACCACCAGGAGUGGAGCCUGCGGCUUAAUUUGACUCAACGCGGGGAAACUCACCCGGUCCGGACACGGCAAGGAUUGACAGACUGACAGCUCUUUCUCGAUUCCGCGGGUGGUGGUGCAUGGCCGUUCUUAGUUGGUGGAACGAUUUGUCUGGUUGAUUCCGAUAACGAGCGAGACUCGGGUCUGCUAAAUACGCCGACGACUCCGGGGUUUCUUGCCCUCGGAGAUUGCCUAACCGGCGCGCGCGAUCGUGGCGCGGCCGCGUCGUCCCUGGCGGCGGCGGGUCGUGCGCGGCGCGCGAGCCAGCCUGGCGACACGUCUUCUUAGAGGAAACUGCGACGCCACAAAGAGAUUGUAAAGUCGAACGAAACCGAGCGAUAACAGGUCUGUGAUGCCCUUAGAUGUCC